rnacentral:rRNA from 1 species
GACGAACGCUGCCGGCGUGCCUAACACAUGCGAGUCGAACGAGGACGGAAUAUAGCUUGCUAUAUUUGUCAGCUAAGUGGCGCACGGGUGAGUAAUGUAUAGAUAACCUGCCCUUAAGAAAGGAAUAACAGUUGGAAACGACUGCUAAUGCCCUAUAUGCCUUUAAUACAUAAGUAUGCAAGGGAAACGCUUUAGUGCUUAAGGAUGGGUCUGUAUGGUAUCAGCUUGUUGGUGAGGUAAUGGCUCACCAAGGCUAUGACGCCUAACUGGUUUGAGAGGAUGAUCAGUCACACUGGAACUGAGACACGGUCCAGACUCCUACGGGAGGCAGCAGUGGGGAAUAUUGCACAAUGGACGAAAGUCUGAUGCAGCAACGCCGCGUGGAGGAUGACACAUUUCGGUGCGUAAACUCCUUUUAUAUAGGAAGAUAAUGACGGUACUAUAUGAAUAAGCACCGGCUAACUCCGUGCCAGCAGCCGCAGUAAGAC